rnacentral:rRNA from 1 species
AGUGAACGCUGGCGGUAGGCCUAACACAUGCAAGUCGAACGGCAGCACAGUAAGAGCUUGCUCUUACGGGUGGCGAGUGGCGGACGGGUGAGGAAUACAUCGGAAUCUACUUUUUCGUGGGGGAUAACGUAGGGAAACUUACGCUAAUACCGCAUACGACCUACGGGUGAAAGCAGGGGAUCUUCGGACCUUGCGCGAUUGAAUGAGCCGAUGUCGGAUUAGCUAGUUGGCGGGGUAAAGGCCCACCAAGGCGACGAUCCGUAGCUGGUCUGAGAGGAUGAUCGGCCACACUGGAACUGAGACACGGUCCAGACUCCUACGGGAGGCCGCAGUGGGGAAUAUUGGACAAUGGGCGCAAGCCUGAUCCAGCCAUACUGCGUGGGUGAAGAAGGCCUUCGGGUUGUAAAGCCCUUUUGUUGGGAAAGAAAAGCAGCAGGUUAAUACCCCGCUGUUCUGACGGUACCCAAAGAAUAAGCACCGGCUAACUUCGUG